rnacentral:rRNA from 1 species
AUGGCGGCAAUGCCGGGGCUGGCACUUGCGGUGCUGGUCCUUGUGUCGGUGCUCCCGGCGUACCGCUCCGACGACCUCAACACGGACGCGCAGGCGCUGGAGGCGCUGCGCAAGGCGGUGGGCCGGUCCGCGCUGCCGGCGUGGAACAGCAGCACGCAGACGUGCCAGUGGCAGGGCGUGGCCUGCGAGAACGGCCGCGUCGUCGAGCUCCGGCUCCCCGGCGCCGGGCUCAUGGGCGCGCUCCCCUCGGGCGUGCUCGGCAACCUCACCGCGCUCCGCACGCUCUCCCUCCGCUGGAACGCGCUCACGGGGCCCAUCCCCGACGACGUCGCCCGCAUGACCGAGCUCCGGGCCAUGUACUUCCAGCACAACGCCUUCUCCGGCGAGGUCCCCGCGGGGCUCUUCACGCUCAAGAACCUGGUGCGGCUCAACAUCGGGCAGAACAAGUUCUCCGGCGAGAUCUCGCCCGACUUCAACAAGCUCAACCGCCUCGGCUCGCUCAUCCUCGACAGCAACGACUUCUCCGGCGAGAUCCCCAAGCUGGACCUGCCCACAUUGGAGCAGUUCAACGUCUCCUACAACAAGCUCAACGGCUCCAUCCCCCGCAAGCUCCGCAAGAUGCCCAAGGACUCCUUCCUCGGCACCGGGCUCUGCGGCGGUCCGCUCGGCCUGUGCCCCGGCGAGACCGCGGAGACGCCGGCCGGGUCGCCGGAGGGCCAGCCAGGCGCCGGCGGCGCCGCCGCUGACGUCGGUGGCGGCAAGAAGAAGAAGAAGCUCUCCGGCGGCGCCAUCGCCGGCAUUGCCAUCGCGUGCGUGCUCGGCCUGCUGCUGCUGCUCGCCCUGCUCUUCUUCCUCUGCCGGAAGAAGAAGUCCAGCAGCGCGCCGAGGUCUUCUACGGCGGCGGUGGAGAAGGGGCGGGACCUGGGCAUGGGCCCGCUGGACGCGGAGCCCAAGGGGCAGAACGGCAACGGCGUCCACGGCGCCGCAGCGGUGCCGGCCGCCGCGGCCGCAGCUGCCGCCGUCGCCGCCAAGUCAGGAGGAGGAGGGUCGACCGCGGGGUCGAAGAAGCUGAUCUACUUCGGGCCGAUGGCGGCGGCCCCGCCGUUCGACCUGGAGGACCUGCUGCGCGCGUCGGCGGAGGUGCUGGGCAAGGGCGCGUUCGGCACGGCGUACAAGGCGGUGAUGGAGAGCGGCGCGGCGGUGGCCGUGAAGCGGCUCAAGGACGUGGACCUCCCCGAGCCGGAGUUCCGCGAGCGCAUCGCGGCCAUCGGCGCCGUGCAGCACGAGCUGGUGGUGCCCCUCCGCGCCUACUACUUCAGCAAGGACGAGAAGCUGCUCGUCUACGACUACAUGUCCAUGGGCAGCCUCUCCGCCCUCCUCCACGGGAACCGGUCGUCGGGGCGGACGCCGCUGGACUGGGAGGCGCGGUCGGCGAUCGCGCUAUCGACGGCGCGCGGGGUGGCGCACAUCCACUCCACGGGCCCGACGGCGUCGCACGGCAACAUCAAGUCCUCCAACGUGCUGCUCACCAAGAGCUACGAGGCCCGGGUGUCGGACCACGGCCUGCCCACGCUCGUCGGCCCGUCCUUCUCCCCCACCCGGGUGUCCGGCUACCGCGCCCCGGAGGUGACCGACAUCCGGCGCGUCUCGCAGAAGGCCGACGUCUACAGCUUCGGCGUGCUGCUGCUGGAGCUGCUCACGGGCAAGGCGCCCACCCACGCCGUGGUGAACGAGGAGGGCCUGGACCUGCCCCGGUGGGUGCAGUCGGUCGUCCGGGAGGAGUGGACCGCCGAGGUGUUCGACCAGGAGCUCCUCAGGUACCAGAACGUGGAGGAGGAGAUGGUGCAGCUGCUCCAGCUCGCCAUCGACUGCUCCGCGCAGCACCCCGACCGGAGGCCCAGCAUGUCCGACGCCGCCGCGCGCAUCGACGAGAUCCGGCGCUCCGCCUCCUCCCCCGCCCAGCACGCGACGACGGACAGCCCCGCCGCCCCCGCCCCCGAGGGCGACGAGCCCUCCCUAUAA